rnacentral:misc_RNA from 1 species
UUGACUUAAAUGUUGCUGGACGGUCCUACAAAUGUGAUCAGAGAUAAACUAUUGCUUGAUUUGAUCGAGAACCACACGCUGUAAAGGGUAAUCGAAGAACUGCAUUUGGUGUGUCUCUUGGUUUAUCACCUUACAUAACAGAUGAACUCAACGUUUUCCGCUUCACAGUUUAAUCAUAUAUGAGACAAACUUCUAGUAACAAUAUGAUUUCAAAGCAAAGAAAAAUUGCAAGGAAUGUGAAUAAAGUAGUUAAUGCAGCCAAGGACUCUAGAACUGUGAACAACAACUAUGAAGAAAGAGUGGAAGUGGAAAUUGUGGAUCUCAAGGAUGUUUAUGAAAAGAAAACUAAGAAAGGACCCAAAGGCCUGGAAUAUCGCCUUGAAAACUCCAAAGUAACGGUAAAGGUGCAUGCCGACCUGGGAAUCACUAAAGUAUGUGCAUAAGUAAAGAGGAGUGCCAGAGCUGCCAUGAGAACCCACGACAAUAGAGGUGCCGUUGAACUUACAGUCAGUAUUUUGGAAAAGGAGAAGAAGCGACAAAUUAUUUCUGUAGAUCUCGGUUCAGUUUACAAGAACCAAGCGGGAGACAACUUCUAUUGGUUGGAGAAGGCGGAUGUCACUGAGCGGAACAAAUGGGAAGUAACUCUCAAGAUAGAUUUAAUUUCUGGACUGACAGCCAGUGUGACAUCCAGACCAUUUCGAGUAACGACGAAAGUGAACUACAAGA